ensembl:lncRNA
GUCUAACAACUUUCUAUUGAGCCUUUUAAAGAAAAUAGAGGAUCUAUUUAAAAGUAAUGUAAAUGCAGUGAACUUAAAAUAAAUUGUAGUAGGAUACACAUCCUUGUCCCCCCUUCAGGUAUACAAUUUGGGGUAAAAUCGAUUGUUAUUGUAUCUGCAGGGUCCAAAGAUCCAUACUGUCCAUAGUUACAGUGACCUACAGGUCCAAGUUAAAAUGGCAUGCAAGGUUGGAACUGCUGACCAGUUCAAGGCCAAGGUCCUCUGGAAGUCUGUCCUGUGUGCUGACCCUAGAAACCCUUCUGCAAUCAGGAUGAUCCUGAGAAGGAUUGGUUGUUCAGGCUCAUGUCAAAAAACUGAUAUGGCAUCUGAGCUGAUCCAGCAGGCUUUGCCAUCCCAGAAUGCCGUGCAGCAGAAGGAGGCCAUCACCAAACCAUGUCAGGUGUCCUCCUUCCUUUCCUGGAAGCGGAUGAGGGAUAGCCUUGAUCAGGAACUGAAACAGUCCAACCACAAGAGGCCAAAACUGGUGGUCAAGGGCCCCAGCAGCACUCUCCCUCAGAAGCAGCAGCAACAGAGGAACAAGCCCACUGGUACAUCAAUUCAGGCAUCUGGCAGCAGGGGGCGCAAGAGAGCAGCAAGCCAGGAUGAAUAACGAGAAGCCCUCCUAUAC